rnacentral:lncRNA from 1 species
AAGUUUUUGUUUUCAAGGCAUGGAAACUGUGGACGGAAGAGAGGGCAUUGGAGCUUCUUGACAAUAUGUCAGAUCGCCCGUAUUCUGUAUCUGAAGUAUUGAGAUGCAUUCAUGUGGGUCUGCUAUGCGUGCAACAAAAGCCGGAAGACAGACCAAAUAUGUCAUCUGUGGUUUUGAUGUUGGGCAGUGAGAAUUCAUUGCCUGACCCAAAGCAACCUGGUUUUUUCACGGAAAGGAAUAUGCCCGCAGUGGACUCUUCAUCAGGAAAUCAUGAAUCAUCGUCUAUAAAUGACCUAACUAUUUCAGAGCUAGAUGCACGGUAGAAGAUUGGCUCUGAUGGUUAAAAGGAAGAGCUAUAUAUAUAUAUAUAUAUGUAUGUAUAUUCUAGCCAAAUCCAAGGCAUAUAACAGAAAUUAAAUAUUUUCUGCUAUAAUUAUGUUGAUGUAUUAUUUUUACCUGUCUACAAGUCCUCUGCAAGUACUAGUGCGAAUACAGAUAGACAGAAUGCUUGAGGAUUCACAUCUCUGGACUGCACAAUAUCUGUACUUGUUUGCUUCGAGCCGUCGAAUUUAAUGCACGGAUCUGGGUUCAAGAUCUAUAUAUGCUAGAGCCUCACUGGCUUCUAACCCAAAAAGAAUCCAUUAGAAUUGUCAAUAUAUAAUUAGUAAAAAAAAAUUACAUACAAUUUAAACAAUCCAAAUUUAUAAUUCAAAUUUACAUUAUAUUUUUCAUAACAUGUUAAAAAAAUAUAUUUUUAACAACCAUACAAGGAGCUAUAGUCUUUCCUUGAUUGAUUUCAUAGCACCUUAAACUUAGCCUUGACCUAACCCUUUUAGGGAUAAAUAUUAUAGGUACGAGUACCUUGAUGAUACUUAGCCUUUGUAGGGGAAUCCGACCGGUGAUGUUUUGAUAUUUGCUCAUAGUAGGCUAAGCACACUAACACAAUAUUUAACGUGGUUCAACAAACCGCCUACAUCCACGGGAGAAACCAUUUGAUUAUAUAGGGAGAGAACAAGAUUUACAACAGUAGAGGAGGAGGAAUCAUCCCCUCUUUGGCAACUCUCAACCUCACUCUAUUUGAUGUUGGGCAGUGAGAAUUCAUUGCCUGACCCAAAGCAACCUGGUUUUUUCACGGAAAGGAAUAUGCCCGCAGUGGACUCUUCAUCAGGAAAUCAUGAAUCAUCGUCUAUAAAUGACCUAACUAUUUCAGAGCUAGAUGCACGGUAGAAGAUUGGCUCUGAUGGUUAAAAGGAAGAGCUAUAUAUAUAUAUAUAUGUAUGUAUAUUCUAGCCAAAUCCAAGGCAUAUAACAGAAAUUAUAUAUUUUCUGCUAUAAUUAUGUUGAUGUAUUAUUUUUACCUGUCUACAAGUCCUCUGCAAGUACUGGUGCGAAUACAGAUACACAGAAUAAUGCUUGAGGAUUCACAUCUCUGGACUGCACAAUAUCUGUACUUGUUUGCUUCGAGCCAACGAAUUUAAUGCACGGAUCUGGGUUCAAGAUCUAUAUAUGCUAGAGGCUCACUGGCUUCUAACCAAAAAGAAUCCAUUAGAACUUUGGAUAGAUUUAUGUAUUUCCUACAAUUCAGUAAUUGUUUUAUAUUGAAAAAUUUUAUUCUGAGUCUAUUUAUUUUUUUAUGUUAUUAAUUUAUUGAUUUAUAUUAUCU